rnacentral:rRNA from 1 species
CCUACGGGGCGCACCAGUGGGGAAUAUUGCACAAUGGGCGCAAGCCUGAUGCAGCCAUGCCGCGUGUAUGAAGAAGGCCUUCGGGUUGUAAAGUACUUUCAGCGGGGAGGAAGGUGUUGUGGUUAAUAACCACAGCAAUUGACGUUACCCGCAGAAGAAGCACCGGCUAACUCCGUGCCAGCAGCCGCGGUAAUACGGAGGGUGCGAGCGUUAAUCGGAAUUACUGGGCGUAAAGCGCACGCAGGCGGUCUGUCAAGUCGGAUGUGAAAUCCCCGGGCUCAACCUGGGAACUGCAUUCGAAACUGGCAGGCUGGAGUCUUGUAGAGGGGGGUAGAAUUCCAGGCGUAGCGGUGAAAUGCGUAGAGAUCUGGAGGAAUACCGGUGGCGAAGGCGGCCCCCUGGACAAAGGCUGACGCUCAGGUGCGAAAGCGUGGGGAGCAAAAAGGAUUAGAUACCCCUGUAGUC